rnacentral:rRNA from 1 species
ACCACAACGGGUGGAGCUUGCGGUUUAAUUGGAUUCAACGCCGGAAAUCUUACCGGGACCGACAGCAAUAUGAAGGCCAGGCUGAAGACUUUGCCGGAUUAGCUGAGAGGUGGUGCAUGGCCGUCGUCAGUUCGUACUGUGAAGCAUCCUGUUAAGUCAGGCAACGAGCGAGACCCACGCCCACAGUUGCCAGCGUACUCUCCGGAGUGACGGGUACACUGUGGGGACCGCCGCUGCUAAAGCGGAGGAAGGAAUGGGCAACGGUAGGUCAGUAUGCCCCGAAUAUCCCGGGCUACACGCGAGCUACAAUGGUUGGUACAAUGGGUAUCUACCCCGAAAGGGGAUGGAAAUCUCCUAAAGCCAAUCUUAGUUCGGAUUGAGGGCUGCAACUCGCCCUCAUGAAGCUGGAAUCCGUACU